UACGUAGUGCGCAAGCGUUGUCCGGAAUUAUUGGGCGUAAAGAGCUCGUAGGCGGUCUGUCGCGUCGGAUGUGAAAGCCCGGGGCUUAACCCCGGGUCUGCAUUCGAUACUGGCAGACUAGAGUGUGGUAGGGGAGAUCGGAAUUCCUGGUGUAGCGGUGAAAUGCGCAGAUAUCAGGAGGAACACCGGUGGCGAAGGCGGAUCUCUGGGCCAUUACUGACGCUGAGGAGCGAAAGCGUGGGGAGCGAACAGG
rnacentral:rRNA from 1 species